GGUAAUACGUAGGGCGCAAGCGUUGUCCGGAAUUAUUGGGCGUAAAGAGCUCGUAGGCGGUCUGUCGCGUCUGCUGUGAAAUCCCGAGGCUCAACCUCGGGCUUGCAGUGGGUACGGGCAGACUAGAGUGCGGUAGGGGAGAAUGGAAUUCCUGGUGUAGCGGUGGAAUGCGCAGAUAUCCAGGAGGACCACCGAUGGCGAAGGCAGUAUACAUCUGGGCCGGGAACUGACGUUGAGGAGCGAAAGC
rnacentral:rRNA from 1 species